UAUUAGACAUAUAACUAAACUGAUUUUAUCUCACUUUUACAUGAUAAUCAAGAAUUAUCUAAUAUAGAAAAUUCAAUAACCCAAGCAUUUAUAGGAAGAAUUCGUUGUUAUGAUUAUGGUAAAAAGCCAAAAGUAACGAUCUACUCUAAGAUUAGGGAUGAACACAAAUAUUAUGAUACCCCAAAGCCUCUAGUCCUUAGAAUGUUACAAAACAGAGUUGCCUCAUGGUCCCAAACGCAAGAAUCGUACACUCUUCUUCAUCAAUCCAUCCUCUCUUAGUAAACUUGCUACAGUUGCAGCUCUUCGAAGAAGAAAGCAGUUCUAUACCCUCUUGUUUAAAUUGCCCGCCAUGGCAUACAAUGAUAAUACCGCAUGUGUGUAUUGCUUCUACAUGCCCUUUUUUGGCCGCCUUCUCUAAGUGUUGAAACCCUGAUUCUGGUUUCUUGGAACUAAAGAACUCGAACAUUCCUUGUCUAAAUAAAGCUUCAGGAUUUCCAUUCUCCUUGCAACUGUCCAAGAAACAGGAGGCACUGUGGCUAAUCCUCCAAGGAAUAACUGGGAAUUUCUCGAUUGUGAUGUGUUCAAAAAUAUACUUCUCUGAUGCUGCUUCGAGAAACUCUUUGCAACUUAAUUUAGCUGUGAAGAGAUCUGAAAACGAUGUAGAGGCCACGCGAGCAAGAGCUUCUGUUAAUAAAUCUCCAGGAAAGCUUUUCUUCUUCCCUUCAUGUUUUUCUUUCUAUUUACCACUGACUGCAAAUCUGAGUGAAAAAAAAAAAAACAAUUUACAUAGUAACUGUUUGUUUCUGUAGUUAAAAAAUACUUUUAAAAACUUAAAAAUUAAUAUUACAAUAUUUUAUAUUAUCUCC